CACAUUGAGGGCAGCUAUCCAAUUUUUGUAGCCAAACCGAGCAGGGAAAAAGCUUUGGUUGUUUUGCAUGGAUGCAUGCAUGCCUGCUGUUGCGACGUAAAAAUUUUGCUUCCGAUUGCUAAUUGUGGCGAUUUAGUGAAAACUUGAAAACUAAAGUUUAAUUUUGAAAUAAAGUGGGAGUCGCCACCGAUCCUUUUUCCUAGGUGUGAUCGGAC
rnacentral:lncRNA from 1 species